rnacentral:rRNA from 1 species
UACGUAGGGCGCGAGCGUUGUCCGGAUUUAUUGGGCGUAAAGAGCUCGUAGGCGGCUUGUCGCGUCGGCUGUGAAAACCCGCGGCUCAACUGCGGGCUUGCAGCCGAUACGGGCAGGCUAGAGUUCGGUAGGGGAGACUGGAAUUCCUGGUGUAGCGGUGAAAUGCGCAGAUAUCAGGAGGAACACCGGUGGCGAAGGCGGGUCUCUGGGCCGAUACUGACGCUGAGAAGCGAAAGCGUGGGGAGCGAACAGG